rnacentral:rRNA from 1 species
UAGCGAAAGCUAGUUGUAUUAUUAGUUAAUGCAAGAUCGACUACGUCGACUAAAGUUCUAGGUAGAAUAAUGAUGAUGACAAUUUUUUACCUAUAUGUCUUGACCAAGUCUCGUGCCAGCAGUCGCGGUAAUACGUGGAAGACUAGUGUUAUUCAUCUUUAUUAGGUUUAAAGGGUACCUAGACGGUAUUUCUAGCCCAAAAUAGGGUACGGAUUUACUAGAGUUUUAUGUGAGGAGGGGAGUACUCGUGGAGUAGAGAUGAAAUUUUGUUAUACUAUGAGGUAACUGGUGGCGGCGAAAGCAACCUUCUAUGUAUAAACUGACGUUGAGGGACGAAGGCUUGGGUAGCAAAUAGGAUUAGAUACCCUAGUAGUCCAAGCAGACAAUUCUGAAUGCCAUAGAUUAGAUUAUUUUUGGUCUAUAAAUGAAAGUGUAAGCAUUCCACCUUAGGAGUAAUGUGGCAACACAGGAACUGAAAUCAUUAGACCGUUUCUGAAACCAGUAGUGAAGUAUGUUAUUUAAAUUGAUGGUCCACAAAAAACCUUACCACAACUUGAAUAUUUUUUUAAUUAAUACAAGCGUUGCACGGCUGUCUUCAGUUAAUGUCGUGAGAUUUUGGUUAACUCCAUUAAUUAACGUAAACCCUUACUUUAUUUAUUUUUUUUU